CCUACGGGAGGCAGCAGUAGGGAAUUUUCGGCAAUGGGGGGAACCCUGACCGAGCAACGCCGCGUGAACGAAGAAGUUAUUCGUAAUGUAAAGUUCUUUUAACAGGGAAGAAAGAGAAAUUGGACGGUACCUGAAGAAUAAGAUCCGGCUAACUACGUGCCAGAAGCCGCGGUAAGACGUAGUGAGCGAGCGUUAUCCGGAAUUAAUGGGCGUACAGGGUGCGUAGAUGGCAUAGGAAGUCUUUUGUAAAAAUGCUGGGCUCCCCCCAGUAGGGCAAAAGAUACUGCAAAGCUGUAGUAUGACAGUGGCAAGUGGACCUACAUGUGUAGCGGUAAAAUGCGUAAAUAUAUGUAAGAACACCAGUGGCGCAGGCGGCUUGCUGGGUCGAUACUGACAUUGCUGCCCGCACGCGUGGGGAGCAAACAGGAUUAGAUACCCGAGUAGUC
rnacentral:rRNA from 1 species